rnacentral:rRNA from 1 species
UACGGAGGGUGCAAGCGUUAUCCGGAUUCACUGGGUUUAAAGGGUGCGUAGGUGGGCAGGUAAGUCAGUGGUGAAAUCUCCGGGCUUAACCCGGAAACUGCCAUUGAUACUAUCUGUCUUGAAUACCGUGGAGGUGAGCGGAAUAUGUCAUGUAGCGGUGAAAUGCUUAGAUAUGACAUAGAACACCGAUUGCGAAGGCAGCUUACUACACGAUCAUUGACGCUGAGGCACGAAAGCGUGGGGAGCAAACAGG